UACGGAGGGUGCAAGCGUUAUCCGGAUUCACUGGGCUUAAAGGGUGCGUAGGCGGGCCGGUAAGUCCGUGGUGAAAUCUCUGAGCUUAACUCAGAAACUGCCAUGGAUACUAUUUGUCUUGAAUAUUGUGGAGGUGAGCGGAAUAUGUCAUGUAGCGGUGAAAUGCUUAGAUAUGACAUAGAACACCAAUUGCGAAGGCAGCUCACUACACAGUUAUUGACGCUGAGGCACGAAAGCGUGGGGAUCAAACAGG
rnacentral:rRNA from 1 species